AAUGUUGUUGCAAUAGUAAUUGAACUUAGUACGAGAGGAACCGUUCAUUCGGAUAAUUGGUAUUUGGGCCUGCCUGAGCAGGCAAUGGCCCGAAGCUAUCAUCCGUUGGGUUAUGGCUGAACGCCUCUAAGUCAGAACCCGUGCUAGAACGCGACGAUUACCGCCUUUUCCGAUUUUUAGUUGAAUACGAAUAGAUCUUCGGAUCCUGAAUCAUACUACGUGGGGUUAUCUUGCAGAGCGGAAAGGCUUUGUGAGGUUCCUGCUAAUGUUAAUUUCAAAUAUUGGAAGAGAUAAAUCCAUUGCAGACGACUUUAAUUGAACGGGGUAUUGUAAGCAGUAGAGUAGCCUUGUUGCUACGAUCUGCUGAGAUUAAGCCCAUUGUUCUAUAGAUUU
rfam:Mortierella elongata AG-77 unplaced genomic scaffold K457scaffold_176, whole genome shotgun sequence.